GCAUAUCAAUAAGCGGAGGAAAAGAAACCAACAGGGAUUGCCCCAGUAACGGCGAAGUGAAGCGGCAACAGCUCAAAUUUGAAAUCUGGCCUUCGGGUCCGAGUUGUAAUUUGGAGMGGAUGCUUUUGGCGCGGCGCCGUCCGAGUUCCUUGGAACAGGACGCCAUAGAGGGUGAGAGCCCCGUACGGGCGGCCGCCUAGCCUUUGUAAAGCUCCUUCGACGAGUCGAGUAGUUUGGGAAUGCUGCUCAAAAUGGGAGGUAAAUUUCUUCUAAAGCUAAAUACCGGCCAGAGACCGAUAGCGCACAAGUAGAGUGAUCGAAAGAUGAAAAGCACUUUGAAAAGAGGGUUAAAAAGUACGUGAAAUUGUUGAAAGGGAAGCGCCUGUGACCAGACUUGCGACCCGUGGAUCAUCCGGUGUUCUUCACCGGUGCACUCCGCGGGCUGCAGGCCAGCAUCGGUUUUCCUAGGGGGUUAAAGGUCGCAGGAACGUAGCUCUUUCGGGAGUGUUAUAGCCUGUGGCGUCAUGCCUCUGGGGAGACCGAGGACCGCGCUUCGGCAAGGAUGCUGGCGUAAUGGUCACCGGCGACCCGUCUUGAAACACGGACCAAGGAGUCAAGCAUUGGGGCGAGUGUCUGGGUGCCAAACCCGCACGCGAAAUGAAAGUAAACGCAGGUGAGAGCUUCGGCGCAUCACCGACCGAUCCUGAUGUCUUCGGAUGGAUUUGAGUAAGAGCCUUACCGCUUGGACCCGAAAGAUGGUGAACUAUGCCUGUAUAGGGUGAAGCCAGAGGAAACUCUGGUGGAGGCUCGCAGCGGUUCUGACGUGCAAAUCGAUCGUCAAAUAUGGGCAUGGGGGGCGAAAGACUAAUCGAACCAUCUAGUAGCUGGUACGCU
rnacentral:rRNA from 1 species